AGACGGUUCAACAUAGUCCUUCUCACGACAGCCAUAAAACAUGUGAUGACCUGUAUGAGAAUCUUAGGAUUGCUGAUGGUAGCUGUGAUGAAUCCCACCUGAGUUCUCCUUUCUAUGAGAAUAUUAAAAAAGAUGCUGUAGAGGUCAGUCAAACACAUCAAACCAUGUAAAAAGCCAAUAAAAGCUUUGGGUGGGUGGAGCUCUCUGUGAUUGAC